rnacentral:lncRNA from 1 species
UUUAUCCACAAAAGUCUUCUGAAAAAAUUCCUUUUAAUAUUCCACUGAGUAUAUAAAGUGAUACAAAUUCGAAAUAAAAUAAGUGUGAGUAAAACAGUUUGCAUAUGAAUGAUUCUCAUAAUUACAGUGCCUACUGUAUAAACAUAGAUCACCAAGUUAUAAACACAAAAGUCUCUCAAGUCUUUAUAUUGAGUUUCUACUACCAAUUAUAUGGCUAAACGAAGUCUAGGAAAACAGAGAGGGCAAGAGGGUUUCAAACAGUGACUGACAACACAAGGUAGCCCAUACUCACCAGAACUGACUGAAGAUCUAAAUGUAAAAGCUCAAAUGAAGCAAUGUGUUCCCGCGUGUGCGUGACCUCUUCGUGCGUAAGCGUAAAAGCACCGACAGCGUGCUGCACGCUCGGCUAUUGGUCAGCUGAGUGCACGCACUAGAUUGCGGAGGCUCUGCGUUGCAUUGCCAGUGAAAGCAGCCUGCGCUAUGAGGAGGAGACACGGAGGAGUGACACUUCAACGGAGCACAUGAGACCUACAUGAGAUUUAAUAGGUUACACUAAAAAUCUACGGUGGUCUGUAUUCGGAAAUGCUGUCUUAAAACGAAGUGGCGUCAUGGAUGUCUUAAUUUGUAGACCGUCCAAAAUCCUCAUUAAGAUUGAAGCCAAAAUCCCUCAGCCCAGCAGCAUCUUCACAACGUACGACAGCUGGAAUUGUGCGAUUCGUGACAUCGCGUCGGUAUGAGGAAAAUAACUGGCACACUGUAAAGAGGAACACACAAGUUCUGCUGAUGCAAAUGAACCCGCAUCCUGGGCAUCUGAUUGGACUGCAGUUCAGUCAUUCCAGCAGUCAGAGAGCACAUGGACCGCCUUCAGCCGGGAGACUGUGGAGCAGAAGAUAGUGCCUGGUGGCCAGUGGUGGACUUCUACCGAAAAGCCAAACCUUCCACUCUCUCCUCUCCAUAAUGUGUCAAAUGUGUUUCUAGAGGCCUUUCCCUCUGAGAAGUCCCCCUGUGAAGAUCCUGAAUACAUUCCUACACUAAAGCAGUUUCUGCAAGGACCAGCUGAAAACGGCAAUACAGGGGAGCACAAGGAGCAGAGCUUACUUGAUGGCCUCCAGGAUCUAGACCGGAUGAUUGGUGUGAAAUAUAAGAGGGCGGAGUCUCUUUCCCGUAAAGUUCUCCUUCAGUCACUGCAUUUGGAACGUCCCAGUUCUGAAUGCGUGACCGUUCGUCUGAAGACCAGUGCCAGAUUUUCUCCAAAUCUCCCAACAUCCAACCAGCAGUUAGCUGCAAAUGCUAAGAGAAGACUGUCAUAUGACUUCAACAGAAAUAUUAUGACUUAGUCUCUAUAUCUGCCGAAACAUCUUUGACCUAUGCUUCCUUGAAAACAGGAAAUACAGGGCAGAGGAAAAAUACAUGCUGAAAAACUGAAUAACUGAGUUUCCCUGGAUUGACUUCUAUUCAAGGUUUAUUUAAAGUGUAUUUCUUCUUUCAGUGUCUGUUCUCACUCAGUGUCUGGUAGAUUCUGUUUCUCAUUCAGCUGUGUAUCAAGACACACAAGACCUGUUUAGCCAAAUAUAUGUUUUUCAGUAUUUCAGAAUAUUGGGAUUAAAUUAGGACAAAUAUACUAAAAUUUCAAGUUAAAAAACCCUUUGCCAAAUUGUCUAGUCCAGGUAUAAGGAAUGAAUCUGGUUAUUGGACUGAUUUUGAUAUAACUGAUAUAAUCAGAUAAAAAUAAGUCAAUAUGCAUUUGUGUAUUACUUUCAAUAAUUGCUAUGUUAGUACUAACAUUUGUUAGAAUAAGAUAAUUUUUCUGGAACCAUAGCAAACCAGUUAGUGCACGUUCUCACAGGGAUGUAGAUGCAAAUCUAGGCCUGUCACGUCCUGAUCCACGUCCCAAACUUUCCUUCCUACUGUCUCACAUGAUGUAAAAUUACAUUUUAAAAAAUUAGAUUUUAGGGGGGGAUUAGGAUUCAUUUUUGCUCCCCGCAAGUUCUCCUUUGCCUGAAAACUGUCAAAGCACAUUUCCACAAAAUGUAUUUUCAUACACCACCUCACAGAGAAAUCCAUUUUCUUGUUUCCAUGUCUUUUUCCCCUGUGCUUGAAGUACUAAAUAUAACACUGUAGUGUACCAUUUUUAACCUCUGAUGAAUAGAGACCAUAUUUUCAGAAGUGUUUUAAAAUGAAUGUUAACAUUUUAAAUUGAACCUGCAAGCUUGUUUGUUGAUUGAUGUAAUUAAAACAUCUUUGAAGGACUGAAUGAAGUGGAUAACUGAGAGAUCAACCAUUUAAUGUUUCAUAACUGAGCAGAUGUGCUAAACGCCUAUGACUUAUGAACACAAAAUAUCUUUAGGCACAUUUCAGUUAUGUGCACUAGGGGCAUUUCCUCUGAGGAGGCAAGGGAGGCAGUGCCUUCUCAAAAUACUGGAUGAG